UACAGAGGUCCCAAGCGUUGUUCGGAUUCACUGGGCGUAAAGGGUGCGUAGGCGGUCGGGUAAGUCUGAUGUGAAAUCUCACAGCUUAACUGUGAAACUGCAUUGGAUACUAUUCGGCUUGAGAGUUGGAGGGGGGACUGGAAUUCUUGGUGUAGCAGUGAAAUGCGUAGAUAUCAAGAGGAACACCAGUGGCGAAGGCGGCUCACUGGCCCGAUACUGACGCUGAGGCACGAAAGCGUGGGGGAGCAAACAGG
rnacentral:rRNA from 1 species